ACAGGGAUUGCCUCAGUAACGGCGAGUGAAGCGGCAACAGCUCAAAUUUGAAAUCUGGCCUUGGCCCGAGUUGUAAUUUGCAGAGGAUGUUUCUGGUGCGGUGCCUUCCAAGUCCCCUGGAACGGGGCGCCAAAGAGGGUGAGAGCCCCGUCUGGUUGGACGCCUAGCCUGUGUGAAACUCCUUCGACGAGUCGAGUAGUUUGGGAAUGCUGCUCUAAAUGGGAGGUAGACCCCUUCUAAAGCUAAAUAUUGGCCAGAGACCGAUAGCGCACAAGUAGAGUGAUCGAAAGAUGAAAAGCACUUUGAAAAGAGGGUUAAACAGUACGUGAAAUUGUUGAAAGGGAAGCGCUUGUGACCAGACAUGCGCCGGGUGUUCAGCGGGCGUUCUCGCCCGUGUAUUCGCCCCGGCGCAGGCCAGCGUCGGUUCGGAUGGGGGGAUAAAGGCGUUGGGAAUGUGGCUCCCUCGGGAGUGUUAUAACCCAGCGUGCCAUGCCCCCGCCUGGACCGAGGUUCGCGCUCUGCAAGGACGCUGGCGUAAUGGUCCCCAGCGGCCCGUCUUGAAACACGGACCAAGGAGUCGAGGUUUUGCGCGAGUGUUUGGGUGUCAAACCCGCACGCGUAAUGAAAGUGAACGCAGGUGGGAGCUUCGGCGCACCACCGACCGAUCCUGAUGUUCUCGGAUGGAUUUGAGUAGGAGCGUAGGGCCUCGGACCCGAAAGAUGGUGAACUAUACUUGGAUAGGGUGAAGCCAGAGGAAACUCUGGUGGAGGCUCGCAGCGGUUCUGACGUGCAAAUCGAUCGUCAAAUCUGAGUAUGGGGGCGAAAGACUAAUCGA
rnacentral:rRNA from 2 species